GACGAACGCUGGCGGCGUGCCUAAUACAUGCAAGUCGAACGCUUCUUUCCUCCCUAGUGCUUGCACUCAAUUGGAAAGAGGAGUGGCGGACGGGUGAGUAACACGUGGGUAACCUACCCAUCAGAGGGGGAUAACACUUGGAAACAGGUGCUAAUACCGCAUAACAGUUUAUGCCGCAUGGCAUAAGAGUGAAAGGCGCUUUCGGGUGUCGCUGAUGGAUGGACCCGCGGUGCAUUAGCUAGUUGGUGAGGUAACGGCUCACCAAGGCCACGAUGCAUAGCCGACCUGAGAGGGUGAUCGGCCACACUGGGACUGAGACACGGCCCAGACUCCUACGGGAGGCAGCAGUAGGGAAUCUUCGGCAAUGGACGAAAGUCUGACCGAGCAACGCCGCGUGAGUGAAGAAGGUUUUCGGAUCGUAAAACUCUGUUGUUAGAGAAGAACAAGGACGUUAGUAACUGAACGUCCCCUGACGGUAUCUAACCAGAAAGCCACGGCUAACUACGUG
rnacentral:rRNA from 1 species